GAACGGGUGAGUAACACGUGGGUGAUCUGCCCUGCACUUCGGGAUAAGCUUGGGAAACUGGGUCUAAUACCGGAUAGGACCAUCGUUUAGUGUCGGUGGUGGAAAGUUUUUUCGGUGUGGGAUGAGCUCGCGGCCUAUCAGCUUGUUGGUGGGGUAAUGGCCUACCAAGGCGUCGACGGGUAGCCGGCCUGAGAGGGUGUACGGCCACAUUGGGACUGAGAUACGGCCCAG
rnacentral:rRNA from 1 species